rnacentral:lncRNA from 1 species
UUUCAAAGAUAAUUAUCAAUAGAUUCAUGUUUUGUAUUAGUUUAGUGAUUAGGCUAAUUACAUGAAAAAGUUUGAUUUGAAUUAUCUUGUUCUUAUGAGUUGCUUAGAUUAAUAGAAAUGUUAAUUGAUUAUGUGCUUUCAAUCCAUUUUAAUCUAAGAGUUGAUUCUAAAAUGUGUUUUUGUAACUUGUCCUCAAGUUAUAUGAAAAGUCACAUUUAAGUUUCUUAAAACUCAUAAAAGUUGGUGUUAGGGUACAAAGUCAUGCUUGGAUGUGGUGUUUUAGGCUUACCUUCUUGUAUGUGUAAAUGGGUUGAGUCUUUCCUAUAAAUAGGAAGUGAGUGACUCCCAUUAUGUAAGGAACCAUUUGGAGUGUUAGACUAGAGAGAGAAACUUGUACAAACCCAUUUGUAUAUCCUUUCUAGAUCUAAUAUGAGCUUACAAAGAUUUAUUUACUCCCUGUGUUCUUGAGUUUACAUGAUGAUUCACUAGAUCUUUUCUAAUUCCGCACAUGCCAUCAUAAUCAACACCACUACAAUUGGUAUCAGAGCGGGUGCUCUUGAUUUGAUCAAGAAUUGAUCCUUGAUGGUUUUCUUGAUUUAAUGAUUCAUUUUAUGAUAUUGGAUCUUCGUGGUUUAGAGAGUUUGGAUUCUAGAAAUCGAAUUCAUCUUUGAUUCUACUCAUAAUUCGAUUUUCUUCACUAGAAUUCAGGUGAUUUUUACUUUCUCUCUCUAGAAAACUCAUUCAAAAUCACUUUCUCUUUCUAGAAAUCUUCAAGUUAAUGUGAUCAUGGUGGAAAUGGUGUACUUGGAGUGUGAUUUUUGGAUUGUGAUCAUUAACGAUGUCAAAUACAAAGUCGGUUUAGAACAAUUUAUUGGAUUAAUAUUGAAAAGCAGGAUGAUUUCAUGGGAUACUUUGAUUUCUUAUGGAGGUUUGAAGAAUGAUCAUGGAGGAUUGAUUUUUCAACCGCUUUCAAAGAUUGAAUGCUUGACUAAAGCUUACAAUAAUUUGAUGAUUGAGAGAGAUAUGAAGAAAGGAAAUGAAAAAGAUUUGUUUGAUAAGUAUUUCAUUUCUCUUAUUGAAAACCCGAAUGAUGUUCUUGCUCUUCAGUUUGUUGAAGAUGUUCUUGAAGUUCAUGAUAAGAAGAUUCAAGUUGAUUCUCAAGAUGAAAAAGUUUUUUGCUCGAUUGGAGUUCAAACCGAUGAUAUUUUGUGUUCUUGUGAUUCGUUUGAAGGAAUGAUUCCUUAUCGGAAGCCGGUGAUCCAAGAAAUUCACAAGUAUCAAACUCCAAAAGAUUUGAUUCAAACUCAAGAAGUUAUGGAAAGUGGGUUCGUUCAUGAAGUCAAGUCUUCAAGAUGCAAAAAGAUGAGAAAGAAAAAGAAGAAGAAGAUUAAUCGGAAAAAUCGGGUUUACUCACAAAAAUCGUCAAACGUUAUGAAGCCAAAAUUCGUUAAGCAAAUUUGGGUUCCAAAGCAACAAUCUCCAAAUGUUGCAUUGAAUUUGAAGUCAAAACCCAAAAGUGUUGGUGGUUCUUUUGAAAAUGUUCUUGGUUUGAUGAAGAACACGAAGAACAAGUUGUACAUCUCCCAUAAUGGGUGGUACAAUGUUCAAAUUGUAGAUUUUCUCGUUCCAACAGAGGAACCAAGAUCUUCUAGAUUUGAUUCGUUCAUUACAAACAAAACUCUAUUCGUCAAAAAGGUAUCUCAAAUUCUCAAAUGGAUUCCAAAACAUCCAUGAUUUCGAUUCGUGUUUUUCGUUUUUCAAUUUUUGAUCGAUUUGCCUCAUUGGAUCUAUUUUGUUUCAAACCCCAUUAUUGAUCCAAUUAUUUUUGUUUUGAUCAAAAUCAAAUUACACUCAUUUUGUUUAAAUUCUGGAAAUUCUCUAUUCAUUCUUCAAAUGUUCAAGCCCAAUUGAUAUUCAACUUACUGUUCAUGUCCGAUUUCUUUGAGCCAAAAUUCAGAAUUAUCUACUAUUCAUGAAGCCUAAAAUAUCAUUCAAUCGUAAUCGGAAAUACUUCGUUCAUUUUUGUUCUUCACUCGUUUCUAGUUAUUGUAUUCUCGAUUGAUCUUGAUAGUGAAUGAAAUUUCAUCUUGUUGUUUUUAUCAAUCGAUGAGUAUAACUUUGUCUUGUGAAUCGAUCGUAUUUGAUUUAUAUAAAUCUAAAGUCAAUUAUGAUCAAGCAGUCAAUAUUUGAUUCAAUUGAAAGUCAACAUAAUCUCUGAAAGUCAAAAUCGAAGUUUUUUUUUAAUCGAAGGCUUGAAGUUCACAGUCGAUGAUUAGAAGUCAAGAAUCGAUGCUUCGAUUGUCAAAGAACGAAGACUGUGAAGUCGUUUUGGGAACUUGAUUGGUGAAUUGAUUUUUGAUUUCGUAUGGUUGGAGUCUGAAUUCGUUUUUGAUGAUCAGAAGAAAUUGAUAUCAAUGAUCAACUGAUUUUGGUUGUUUGAGUGAUGAACUAAUUGAGACUCGCAAUCGAUAGUAAAUGGUCGAAUGAUUGAAAUCAGUUUCAUUUGGUUACAUGAGAAUCAAUUUUGGGUUCGCAUAUCGAUCUUGUUUUGAAUUGGAGGUCAAGAUCAUUCACAUCUGGGUCUCAAUUGAGUUCGCAUAUGAAGAUGAUUGGGUUUGGAUUUUCGCAUAUGAGUGAAUGAAAUCAAUGCAAAAAUUCUUGUUGCAAAGGCAGUGAAGAUCAAAAUCGGGUUCACAUAAUGUGCUUUGGUCAAUUCUGAAGUCAAAAUCAGUUCGCACAUAUGGUCACGAUUUGUUCUUUGGGUUAAUUGAGUUAGAGAUGUGAAGGCUUCGUAUUGUAAAUUGGAUGAUUGGGUUUGAAGGUCAAAGUGUUUCGUUCGCAUCCAUGUUACAAUAUGCGAAAGUUGUUCAUUCACAUCUGUUUUCGCAAGUGAUUUGGGAAGUCGACACUUGAUAGUCGAAGAUUUUGAAGUCGAUGUGCGAAGAUUAGUAUGCGAAGAAUUGUAUAUCGACGUGCGAAGAAUUUGUCUGGAACGUGCGAAGCAUUUCACUGGUUAACGAAUGGGAAGAAGAAAAACAAUUUUCGAAAUUGGUCCCUAAUGUUUUGAAGAUAUGGCAAAAGAGGUCCAGUUUCGAAUAUUGAGCAAAAAUUAUGAAGAAUGCAUAAGUUUUGAAAAGAGUCCAUGUAGUUUCAAAAUGCUGGCAGUUUAUACCCAACUUCGCAAAUGGGUAAUAAAAGCUGAGAAAUUGCAGAAUUUUCAUUUCUGGUCCCUGCAGUUUGUGCGAAUUUACACAUUCUACCCAGUUUCGCAAAUGGGGGUGUGUUUCGCAUAUUUGGUUGUUUUUGGCGGAACGGGUCCCUACAGAAUUCUGUUAUUGACAAUUUCUACCCGGUUUUUGAAAAUUUUUGCAACUUUCUUUGAAAAAGUCAAAAAUUUUCAUAAAUUGGAAAAUUUUUGUGGCUUUUUCGUGAUUGUUUUUCCGCGCAAGAUUUUUGGUGAUUCAUUUUUGGUACACAUCAAGGGGGAGUAUUGUGAAGUUUAUUCCUCGGGAACUUCUCACCCUUUAUGGGUUUUAUAAUCAUUUUUUGAUUAUAAAAAGGGGGAGCAUGAUGGGUAUUCGAAGCUUCUCGGGUUUGUCGGAUAUUCAUUAGCGGAUUUGAAGACCGAUGUUACUUCGAGGGGGAGUUUUGUCUUGAUCGCACGAGCUCGUUGGAUACCGAAGUCGGGACAUCCAAUCCUAACUUUGAGGGGGAGAAUGUUAGGGUACAAAGUCAUGCUUGGAUGUGGUGUUUUAGGCUUACCUUCUUGUAUGUGUAAAUGGGUUGAGUCUUUCCUAUAAAUAGGAAGUGAGUGACUCCCAUUAUGUAAGGAACCAUUU